rnacentral:lncRNA from 1 species
AGGGAGUAGGGUGAAGGCGACGGAAGUUGACGUCACCCUCAGUCGCCAUGUUGGUUGAGAAUAAAGGGAUGGUUUUGGAGGCCUGGGCGGACUUCUUUGAUGAGGGGAAACCGCUUUCGCGGGAUCUGGUGGAUGUAGAUAUAUGGGUUUAUAGUUGGGGAAACUUAAUUGCCAGGAGGCGAGACUGAGAGUGUCACAGGGAUUGGACUUGACCUCAGACAUCUUGACGCUCAAACCAGGAUUCUAGCAUAAAAAUGGUAGCAAGAAGAGAAGAAAAUGGGCAUACUUACG